rnacentral:rRNA from 2 species
GCAUAUCAAUAAGCGGAGGAAAAGAAACCAACAGGGAUUGCCCCAGUAACGGCGAGUGAAGCGGCAACAGCUCAAAUUUGAAAUCUGGCCCCCCGGCCCGAGUUGUAAUUUGGAGAGGAUGCUUCUGGCGCGGCGCCGUCCGAGUUCCUUGGAACAGGACGCCACAGAGGGUGAGAGCCCCGUACGGACGGACGCCUAGCCUCUACGAAGCUCCUUCGACGAGUCGAGUAGUUUGGGAAUGCUGCUCAAAAUGGGAGGUAAAUUUCUUCUAAAGCUAAAUACCGGCCAGAGACCGAUAGCGCACAAGUAGAGUGAUCGAAAGAUGAAAAGCACUUUGAAAAGAGGGUUAAAAAGUACGUGAAAUUGUUGAAAGGGAAGCGCCUGUGACCAGACUUGCGCCCCGCGGACCACCCGGCGUUCUCGCCGGUGCACUCUGCGGUGCGCAGGCCAGCAUCGGUUCUCCCAGGGGGACAAAGGCCGCGGGAACGUAGCUCCUUCGGGAGUGUUAUAGCCCGCGGCGGCAUGCCCCUGGGGGGACCGAGGACCGCGCUUCGGCAAGGAUGCUGGCGUAAUGGUCACCAGCGACCCGUCUUGAAACACGGACCAAGGAGUCAAGCAUUGGGGCGAGUGUAUGGGUGCCAAACCCGCACGCGAAAUGAAAGUAAACGCAGGUGAGAGCUUCGGCGCAUCAUCGACCGAUCCUGAUGUCUUCGGAUGGAUUUGAGUAAGAGCCUUACCGCUUGGACCCGAAAGAUGGUGAACUAUGCCUGAAUAGGGUGAAGCCAGAGGAAACUCUGGUGGAGGCUCGCAGCGGUUCUGACGUGCAAAUCGAUCGUCAAAUUUGGGCAUGGGGGCGAAAGACUAAUCGAACCAUCUAGUAGCUGGUUACCGCCGAAGUU